rnacentral:rRNA from 1 species
AGUGAACGCUGGCGGUAGGCCUAACACAUGCAAGUCGAACGGCAGCACAGUAAGAGCUUGCUCUUACGGGUGGCGAGUGGCGGACGGGUGAGGAAUACAUCGGAAUCUACUUUUUCGUGGGGGAUAACGUAGGGAAACUUACGCUAAUACCGCAUACGACCUACGGGUGAAAGCAGGGGAUCUUCGGACCUUGCGCGAUUGAAUGAGCCGAUGUCGGAUUAGCUAGUUGGCGGGGUAAAGGCCCACCAAGGCGACGAUCCGUAGCUGGUCUGAGAGGAUGAUCAGCCACACUGGAACUGAGACACGGUCCAGACUCCUACGGGAGGCAGCAGUGGGGAAUAUUGGACAAUGGGCGCAAGCCUGAUCCAGCCAUACCGCGUGGGUGAAGAAGGCCUUCGGGUUGUAAAGCCCUUUUGCUGGGAAAGAAAAGCAGCAGGUUAAUACCCCGCUGUUCUGACGGUACCCAAAGAAAAGCACCGGCUAACUUCGUG